rnacentral:rRNA from 1 species
GGAGUUUGGGCCGUGUCUCAGUCCCAAUGUGGCCGGUCACCCUCUCAGGUCGGCUAUGGAUCGUCGGUUUGGUGAGCCGUUACCCCGCCAACUGCCUAAUCCAACGCGGGCCCAUCGUAUGCCGAUAAUUCUUUUCACACUGUACCAUGCGAUACCGUGCGCUUAUGCGGUAUUAGCAGUCGUUUCCAACUGUUGUCCCCCUGCAUACGGCAGGUUGCCCACGCGUUACUCACCCGUCCGCCACUAAGUCAUAAAUCUUUUCAAUCCGAAGAAAUCAAAGAUAAAUGCUUCGUUCGACUUGCAUGUGUUAAGCACGCCGCCAGCGUUCAUC